rnacentral:lncRNA from 1 species
UUUCCCUCAAUUCUUUUUAUUUAUUUUUCUAAUUUCUUUAAAAGAAAGGAUUCCAACUUUAAAAGAAGGGGGCAGAGCGGGAAAGGGGUCAGAGAAAAGCGUGGGUGUCUCGUUUACAAGAUGUACUAGGUACCUUUUGAAAUUUGAUUCACAAAAUACCGCUGUCGUGGAGUGUUAUCUCCUGCCCACUUCGCACAACCUCACCACUGUGUACCUCUAGUGGAGAAGGGAACAGCACACGCUCAUUUCUGUUCAUUUCACACCCAAGGCAUUGGAAAAAAAGGAUAUUCAGCCAUGGGAAAAGGGAAGUUUUCUAUUCCGCGUCUGGAGUGCGGAGAAGGCCAGUAGGAUCUUUGAGCGCGGGUCUACAGAAUGACGGAUAAGGGCGGGGCCAAGGGAAGUGGUGGGCGGGGCCAUGGAGUAGGGGGCGGAGCAAGGGAGGCAAGGAGCCGAGCCUUUCCCCUCUCCUUGUCUCAGAAGCUUAGAGAAAGAACGACCCCUGGGGAUUUAUACCCCUCCCCUUUGUAUCCCCUUUCCACCCUACUUUCCACAAGGAGCAUCCCCCAACUCCCCGACACUAAAUCUCAGUGCGCCCUGCCUUUUCUCCAGCCUGCAGGUGAGGUGCGCUCUGCUCUGCGUUUACUCUCAAGAACAAGGUCAUCUCUCUGGUCCCUCAGACUUCUCAAACUAUGGCUCUAAUGGUCGAGUGUAGUCUCCUCAAAGGUGUGCGCUGAGGCUUGCUCCCAGGGUGAGACUCUCAGGUGGUGGAACUUCGAGAAGUAGGUCCUAGGGGAGGUCCUCAGGUCACUGGGGACUGACUCUCAGAA